GGCGGAUGUAGCCAAGUGGCUCAAGGC
rnacentral:tRNA from 86 species